AUGCUGUUAGGGUUAAAAGCGUGUGACGUUACAACUUCUAAAAAAGGCUUGAUCUUCUUCUCUCUUUCAUCACAAACGACAUUGCAUCCACCAUCUCUGUUCGACCUUCGCCCCUCAGCCUCCUAUUCGUCUGCCAUGGCCCACCGUUCCCUUAUCUAUCUUAAUCCAAACCCUAACCUAUUUCCUUUCAAUUUCCUCUAA